CUGACUUAUCACUCAAAGGCAUUGUGGGAAAUAAAAAUAGUAGUUUGCUCAGAUUCAGCUGGUGAUGCUCAGCUCUGCUCACUGGCACCCUCCGACGUAGGAGGGGAGCUGCCACCACCCCAAAUCUGAAGGGGAGCCUGUUUACAGUCACACUUUGGAAUGAUACACGUGCAAAUGAAUGUGGGAAGCAUUUUCCUUUAUUUCUGUGAACUGGGGUUUGGCUUCCGACCCUGGGUCAAAUUGUUUUCCAAAGUGCGAAAUCACAGUUAAAACCUAAUCUUGUGGUUGGUGCACAACCCUAACCCAAAUGGGUCCUUCUGCAGGGGAGCUUCCAUGAAAUGUUGAUGAGAAAAUACUGGUGGGUAUGUUGCACCCAUAGCAGCAGAUGAUUAGGCAACUGAGGAUGCAAUUCCAACCCCACUUGCUUGAGAUUAAGUCCCAUUGAAUUCAAUAUGAUUUACCUCCGAGCAGAAACAGUCAGGCUUGCACUGUAAAUCAUGACAAACAAUGUCUCUGUUUUUCUGCAGAAUUGCUCUGCACAGCUACAGAGGGUCUGAAUAUGAGUCAGAGAUUAUAGUUCCUCUCUCUCCCUAGUGAAGACAAAUGCCUGAUCAUACGACAAGCUAUGCAAGUGUUGAAUUAUCUGUGGGCUCUAGUCAUUCUUCAUGUCUGAAGCAAGGCAGCAGCAGCAUGUCAUAAAGACCCAAAUUCUGCAAUGAAAUGGCAGUUCCCUGCCCAUAUUUCCUCCUUUAUUCCUUUCUGUAUCUACAUCCCACCCAUGAAGAGUUAUGACUUUAGUCCAGGCUUGCAGGAAAAUAAAGCUUUAUUUCAUAAUAAGGAUGAACGUGGCCUGAAUAUAAAUGCAUGGAAAUACAGAAGCUCCAUUAAGUAAUGCCAUCAUGGGAUAUGAUUUAAAAUACCAACCAAACAGGUCCAGAUGAAGAAUGUUUUGUGACACAAACUUCAGGUUCUAAGUUUUUGAGGCCAAGUAUUACCUUCCAAGGAGGUAGAGGUGUUAGGAACCUUGAGUGGAUCUAAACACAGGAAAGAAACGCUAUAAAUAAGUCAGAAAUUAGAUCGUUUUAACAAAAUAAAAAACUUGCUAUGAGAAAUGUCAUUUUAAACAA
rnacentral:lncRNA from 1 species